rnacentral:lncRNA from 1 species
GUUUAACUCGUACAUUGGUUUUUGACAUUUUUUUCUUUCUUUUAUUUAACAUGCCAUUUGUAUCUAUUUUGUGUAUUUUUGUCGAUUUUUCUCUAUUCUUUUGUUUUUGUGGGGGUCCCUUUUGAUAGAUAUUUGUCCAAUAAUGCUCACUUUUUUAAGCAAAUCUUAAACUCCGCGACAUGUAUGUUCGAAUUGGUAAAUUUCAGAAAUUGGCGUUACUUACCUGUCAUCGUAGUUUACCCGAACAGUCACGGAAUCAUAACAAAUGUUGUCAUAUUAAUGAUUAGCUUUUUGAUGAAUUGUGUAGUUAUAUAGCGUAUGCAUCUUAGUUCAUAAACAAUCGAUACACAGUAUUGACAAACAUUCUUAUACUUACUAUCAAGUUCACAACUCUGUUAGUCCUAUCCAUC